rnacentral:rRNA from 1 species
UGGUCAAGUUAUUAAGGGUGCAGGGCGGAUGCCUUGGCACUAGGAGCCGAUGAAGGACGUGAUAAGCUGCGAUAAGCUUCGGGGAGUUGCACGUAAACUUUGAUCCGAAGAUUUCCGAAUGAGGAAACUCACUUAGAGUAAUGUCUAAGUAUCAUUAAGUGAAUACAUAGCUUAAUGAGGGGAACUCAGGGAACUGAAACAUCUAAGUACCUGAAGGAAGAGAAAGAAAUUCGAUUCCGUAAGUAGCGGCGAGCGAACGCGGAUUAGCCCAAACCAAUAAAGUUUUCUUUAUUGGGGUUGCGGACAUAUCAUAACGAAGAGGUAUCGUAAUUGAAGAGGUUUGGAAAGACCCACCACAGAAGGUAAUAGUCCUGUAUGUUAAACGA